rnacentral:rRNA from 1 species
AUUGAACGCUAGCGGGAUGCUUUACACAUGCAAGUCGAACGGAGUGGCGGAUGGGUGAGUCAUAUAUCGGAACGUGCCCAAUCGAGGGGGAUAACUACCCGAAAGAGUGGCUAAUACCGCAUAAUAUUGGAGCGGCCUUUAACGGAAUAGCUAGUUGGUGGGGAAAAGGCUCACAAAGGCAACGAUCCGUAGCGGGUUUGAGAGGACGACCAGCAACACUGGGACUGAGAAAAGGCCCAGACUCCUACGGGAGGCAGCAGUGGGAAAUUAUAGAGAGUGGGGGAAACCCUGAUCCAGACAUCACGCAUAUAUGAUGAAGGCCUUCGGGUUGUAAAGUACUUUUGGCAGAAAAGCGGUAUCUGCAGAAGAAGCAACGGCAAAAGACGUGCCAGCAGCCGCGGUAAUAC